GAUGAAGAACGUAGCGAAAUGCGAUAAGUAAUGUGAAUUGCAGAAUUCAGUGAAUCAUCGAAUCUUUGAACGCACAUUGCGCCCGCCAGUAUUCUGGCGGGCAUGCCUGUUCGAGCGUCAUUACAACCCUCAGGCCCCCGGGCCUGGCGUUGGGGAUCGGCGGAAGCCCCCUGCGGGCACAACGCCGUCCCCCAAAUACAGUGGCGGUCCCGCCGCAGCUUCCAUUGCGUAGUAGCUAACACCUCGCAACUGGAGAGCGGCGCGGCCACGCCGUAAAACACCCAACUUCUGAAUGUUGACCUCGAAUCAGGUAGGAAUACCCGCUGAACUUAAGCAUAUCAUAAGCGGAGA
rnacentral:misc_RNA from 1 species